GGGCCCAUAGCUCAACGGUCAGAGCGGUCGGCUCAUAACCGAUUCGAUCCAGGUUCGAAUCCUGGUGGGCCCA
rnacentral:tRNA from 2 species